rnacentral:misc_RNA from 1 species
GGUCUAUUAGCUUUGGGCCGUGGUUUAUUAUCAUUUAUAUCCCAAUCUGAAAGCCUCUACAAGUCCACAUUCUCCUAUUGUUUGCCCAGUUACAAAUCUCCCAAUUUUUCUGGCACACUUAGAUUAGGCCCAAAAGGCCAGCCACUGAGGAUUAAAACCACACCAUUGCUAAGAAACCCAAGGAGAUCAUCCUUUUACUAUGUCAAUUUAGUCGGAGUUAAAGUCGGAAAACGAAUCGUCGAUAUCCCUCCCAGUGCAUUCGCUUUCGAUUCCAACACCGGCGCCGGCACAAUAAUCGAUUCCGGCACUGUGUUUACCAGACUCGUUGACCAAGCUUACACGGCGGUGAGAAAUGAAUUCAGGAGGAGAAUGGGGAGGAACGCGACGGUGACAUCACUUGGUGGAUUCGACACCUGCUACACCGUCCCUAUAACAAUUCCAACAAUAACAUUUAUGUUCGCCGGAAUGAACGUGACGCUGCCGCAAGACAACUUCCUGAUUAAAAGUAGCUCAAGCAGCACCACUUGCUUAGCCAUGGCUGCUUCACCUACCGAUCCAGUGAAUUCCGUGCUCAACGUGAUCGCCAGCUGGCAGCAACAGAAUCAUCGGAUUCUCUUUGACGUACCAAAUUCUAGGGUUGGGGUUGCCCGUGAAACCUGUAGCUGAAAA